GACGAACGCUGGCGGCGUGCCUAAUACAUGCAGGUCGAACGCAUUUUCUUUCACCGUAGCUUGCUACACCGAAAGAAAAUGAGUGGCGAACGGGUGAGUAACACGUGGGUAACCUGCCCAUCAGCGGGGGAUAACACUUGGAAACAGGUGCUAAUACCGCAUAAUUCCAUUUACCGCAUGGUAGAUGGAUGAAAGGCGCUUUUGCGUCACUGAUGGAUGGACCCGCGGUGCAUUAGCUAGUUGGUGGGGUAACGGCCUACCAAGGCUGCGAUGCAUAGCCGACCUGAGAGGGUGAUCGACCACACUGGGACUGAGACACGGCCCAGACUCCUACGGGAGGCAGCAGUAGGGAAUCUUCGGCAAUGGACACAAGUCUGACCGAGCAACGCCGCGUGAGUGAAGAAGGUUUUCGGAUCGUAAAACUCUGUUGUUAGAGAAGAACAAGGAUGAGAGUGGAAAGUUCAUCCCUUGACGGUAUCUAACCAGAAAGCCACGGCUAACUACGUG
rnacentral:rRNA from 1 species